rnacentral:lncRNA from 1 species
AAAUAUUGUAAUUAUCAAGAUUUGGAGCAAACUGCCUACAAUCUAUAUUGUUUGUCUGGUUCACAUUGAAGCCAAAAAAGCCAUAGUAAUUGACAAAGGAGUCCCUCUCUGGAGGUAGGUAUUGUACAAAAUUUUGAAUAAUUUUUUUUAAGCGUUAUAUCAUAUAACAUAUUUAUGUCAUUUUUUUUACAGGUUGGUUUUGG